AUUGAACGCUGGCGGCAUGCUUUACACAUGCAAGUCGAACGGUAACAGGCCGCAAGGUGCUGACGAGUGGCGAACGGGUGAGUAAUGCAUCGGAACGUGCCCAGUCGUGGGGGAUAACUACUCGAAAGAGUAGCUAAUACCGCAUACGAUCUAUGGAUGAAAGCGGGGGACCGUAAGGCCUCGCGCGUUUGGAGCGGCCGAUGUCAGAUUAGGUAGUUGGUGGGGUAAAGGCUCACCAAGCCAACGAUCUGUAGCUGGUCUGAGAGGACGACCAGCCACACUGGGACUGAGACACGGCCCAGACUCCUACGGGAGGCAGCAGUGGGGAAUUUUGGACAAUGGGCGCAAGCCUGAUCCAGCAAUGCCGCGUGCAGGAAGAAGGCCUUCGGGUUGUAAACUGCUUUUGUACGGAACGAAACGGCUCUGGUUAAUACCCGGGGCUAAUGACGGUACCGUAAGAAUAAGCACCGGCUAACUACGUG
rnacentral:rRNA from 1 species